GGGUCCGACGCCCGGGGGCCCCCGCGGAGCCGCAGGUGAGCCCCGCGGUCCCGGGCGCCGCCGGGGAGGCUGGGUCGCAGACAGCCGGCUUCGGACCGCAUCCCUAAACCUGGGGGAAGUGAAGACCGUACACCGUGGGGUCCGGAUCCCGGGCUGGCCUGCCGCCCGGUCACUACCGUGUGGCCCUCAGCAGGUUGCUUCAACUUUCUGAGCAUCGGUUCCUCAUCUAACCGGAGGCGAGCGGCUGAGUGGUGAGAAAGGACACCUGUCUGUUCAGGUGCUUUGAGGUCAGAAAGAAGGGCGGAGGUAACCGGCAGUGGAGUGUGGUGGCCGGUGAGGUGUGAUGCUCACCUGCCAGGUGGGCUGGCUGCGCACCCUGGACUUCCCCAGCUUUAGCAUCUCAAGCAAGUUAUGGAAACUCUUCUGGGCUUCGUUUUCUCCAUCUGAUCGUCCACGAUGCCUGCUAAAGGGAGAACAGUGUAUUGAAAGGUAUUUGACUUUGAUAAACAUCUUGCUCUCCUUACAAAACGAUUGAUCAGAGUACAUCUGUCCAUCUGAAUUGAUUGGCUUAGCUUGAAAUAGAAGGAUGUCUCAUUCUGCAAGCCUGGAUCUCCUCUCUCCUCCCUGCUCUUCCAUCAUUUCCAGGAAAAGUUUGGGCCAGACACACCCACUGUUCUAACACCCAGGAUCACAGAACAAACAGGAAGAUCCUAUAUCAUGACUGCCUGGGUUUACACUCCCAGUGUUAUUAUAUAUGAGUUGUUUGAGCCGAGGUAAAUUUCCUGGGCUAUCCGUCUUUUGUUGUCACCAACUAUAAAUGAAGAUCUUACAUAUUGAUGGUGUGAUGAACUUUGGCUACUAUUAUUAUCUUCAACAUGGGCCAGUUGGCCUGUCCAGCCAUAUCUAAUGUCACACAAGACCUCUUUUCUGAGAACCAUAUGCCCUGUGUUGUCUACACGGUUUCACCUUGAAUCCCCGUGUCACUCGGGAAUCUCAACUUUGUGAUGUCCAAAAGAGAUGGAGGGUGAGAGGAAGAGAGAGAAGGAGAGAAUUCCAAGCAGACUCCCCACGGGACGCAGAGGCAAAUGGGGGCUCCAUGUCACCACCCUGAGAUCAUGACCUGAGCCGAAAUCAAGAGUCAGAUGCUUAACGGAGUCACCCGGGGACCCUGGACUCCUGGGUGGCUCAGCGGUUGAGCGCCUGCCUUCAGCUCAGGGUG